AGGGAUUUUCCUCGGUAUAUACAAAUAAAUGAUUGCCGAGUUGACGUAACACAUCUGCUAGACUAAAAACACUAAUUGCGUUUGAAAGAGGGACAGACAUGGAUGAUGGACUGUGUCAUUUCCCACAGCAUUAUUCGGGUACGUGUGUCCUACGUCAAAUGGCAAAGGCAAAGCUGGAUGAUGGACACACGGAGGACAGAGAAAGGAAAGGAAAAU
rnacentral:lncRNA from 1 species